UACAGAGGGGGCAAGCGUUAUUCGGAAUUAUUGGGCGUAAAGGGCGCGUAGGCGGCUUGGCAAGUGGAAGGUGAAAUCCCUCGGCUUAACCGAGGAACUGCCCUCCAAACUGCUUCGCUUGAGACCGGGAGAGGUGAGUGGAAUUCCCAGUGUAGCGGUGAAAUGCGUAGAUAUUGGGAGGAACACCAGUGGGGAAGGCGGCUCACUGGACCGGUACUGACGCUGAUGCGCGAAAGCGUGGGGAGCAAACGGG
rnacentral:rRNA from 1 species